rnacentral:rRNA from 1 species
AUGAACGCUGGCGGCGUGCUUAACACAUGCAAGUCGAACGAAGCGAUUUGAAUGAAGUUUUCGGAUGGAUUUCAGAUUGACUGAGUGGCGGACGGGUGAGUAACGCGUGGGUAACCUGCCCCAUACAGGGGGAUAACAGUUAGAAAUGACUGCUAAUACCGCAUAAGACCACAGCACCGCAUGGUGCAGGGGUAAAAACUCCGGUGGUAUGGGAUGGACCCGCGUCUGAUUAGCUUGUUGGCGGGGUAACGGCCCACCAAGGCGACGAUCAGUAGCCGACCUGAGAGGGUGACCGGCCACAUUGGGACUGAGACACGGCCCAAACUCCUACGGGAGGCAGCAGUGGGGAAUAUUGCACAAUGGGGGAAACCCUGAUGCAGCGACGCCGCGUGAGUGAUGAAGUAUUUCGGUAUGUAAAGCUCUAUCAGCAGGGAAGAAAAUGACGGUACCUGACUAAGAAGCCCCGGCUAACUACGUGCCAGCAGCCGCGGUAAUACGUAGGGGGCAAGCGUUAUCCGGAUUUACUGGGUGUAAAGGGAGCGUAGACGGCUGUGCAAGUCUGGAGUGAAAGCCCGGGGCUCAACCCCGGGACUGCUUUGGAAACUGUACGGCUGGAGUGCUGGAGAGGCAAGCGGAAUUCCUAGUGUAGCGGUGAAAUGCGUAGAUAUUAGGAGGAACACCAGUGGCGAAGGCGGCUUUCUGGACUGAAACUGACACUGAGGCACGAAAGUGUGGGGAGCAAACAGGAUUAGAUACCCUGGUAGUCCACGCCGUAAACGAUGAAUGCUAGGUGUCGGGGAGCAAAGCUCUUCGGUGCCGCCGCAAACGCAAUAAGCAUUCCACCUGGGGAGUACGUUCGCAAGAAUGAAACUCAAAGGAAUUGACGGGGGCCCGCACAAGCAGUGGAGUAUGUGGUUUAAUUCGACGCAACGCGAAGAACCUUACCAAGGCUUGACAUAUACAGGAAUAACUAAGAAAUUAGUUAGCUCUUCGGAGUCUGUAUACAGGUGGUGCAUGGUUGUCGUCAGCUCGUGUCGUGAGAUGUUGGGUUAAGUCCCGCAACGGGCGCAACCCUUAUCCUCAGUAGCCAGCAGGUAAAGCUGGGCACUCUGUGGAGACUGCCAGGGAUAACCUGGAGGAAGGUGGGGACGACGUCAAAUCAUCAUGCCCCUUAUGACUUGGGCUACACACGUGCUACAAUGGCGUAAACAAAGGGAAGCGAGAGGGUGACCUGGAGCAAAUCCCAAAAAUAACGUCUCAGUUCGGAUUGUAGUCUGCAACUCGACUACAUGAAGCUGGAAUCGCUAGUAAUCGCGAAUCAGCAUGUCGCGGUGAAUACGUUCCCGGGUCUUGUACACACCGCCCGUCACACCAUGGGAGUCAGCAACGCCCGAAGCCGGUGACCUAACCGCAAGGAAGGAGCCGUCGAAGGCGGGGCAGGUAACUGGGGUG